CUCAAUCUCAAAAAAUCUUUCCGUACUGUUUCUCUCGCUCUCUCAGUAGCUCUAGAAGAAUUAGUUUUUUCCUCUUCUGUUCCAGAUUUUCAAGGACGGCUCUUUGCUUUCUCAUCUGGGUGUUGCAAUUUUGACUACUAAAUCCUCCGUUAAAUUUGCCAAACUACAUUGGUUAGGCCGAAAGCAACAUCACAACUCAAAAUCCUUCAAUAUAACUACGCAAAGCGAGAAACAUAAGAAAGAAGAAGUUUUUUGAGGAACUGCUAUGGAUAGAGGGGGAAGAGGAGAAACAAAGAUCAUUGCUCAACGCCUUUCAAUAGACGUGAGCCGAGGAAGAAGCAUCUCAAAAAACGCAAAACGAUGUUUGUGAUCCAAAGGAUAUAUUCAAUUGCUAUGCAAAGAGCUGGUAAUCAAUAAAGUGAUUUCCUUGAACUUGUCUAUAUGUUACCUAAGUUGUGAAAAUCAUGGAGGUUCCUAAGAACUCUUUAGAGCUUUCAAACUGAUGAAGCCUUUGCGCUGGGAAAAAUAGUUUUCCCCAUAAGUUAUUGCUUAUACAACUUUAUCUGAAGGAUAUGACAGAGAUGCCCCACUUGUUACGGCUUUAAACAGUUUCCUUCAGAGAUGAUACAAAUAGAAGUAAGUGUGAAUGAGGUAAUUAAAAAUUUCAGUCAUAAUGUUAUACCAAUUAAGGCUCUGUUGCUUUUCCUGGGAAUGGAGAUGAGACAAGCAGAAGGAAGAGUAUAAGGUAAGACACUUUUUAUUCAUUAUUUCUUUAUCUUUAUUAUUAGGAAAGCUAUAUAUGCCUAUUAUUAUGAUUGAGGUAUAAAUAUAAUGGCCUGCAAACUCUCUGACUUUCAUGAAGCAAAAUAAUGAUUUCCAACUUCACUGAUGUCCAAUCAAAUAUAUACGUAUAUUACAAGUUUGAAUUGAUAUAGACCUUGAGAUUUUAAGUAGCAUGAACUUGCGGCUUUUUAUGUUGUUUGAAACUUCACGGUUAGAAAACAAAUGGCUUAUUGUGGAAUUUUUUUUUUUUUUUAAUUGUUCAACUCUACUUACUUAUCUAUAGUAAUUUAAAUAUUAGUUAUCUCAAUGGAUACUAAUUUGAUUCUUCAUAUUAGCGUAAAUUAGAGACUGAGAGGACUCAAGAUUUGCUUUUUUCAAGGAAAUUACUUAAAAGAAGUUGAAAGAUACGUACUCAAUGACUGCGAAGGUCUACCUUUAAAAUGAAAUUUUGUGUUACUUUAAUUUAGAUAUGCAUAUAUAGGCUUAUCUUAUCAUUAUACUUGACUUCUACUGAUGCUUAGGUGUGAUAAAGACUCUUAAUGAGAUAGUCUCCCUAUUACCAUAUUCAGAGCAUAAGGACAUAAUGCAUCUCAUACCAUACUUUCAUCUAACAUCUGUAUAAGUAGAGUGAUCAAAUGUUUGAACCUUCUCUCUGUAAGAAUACUUUUCCUUUGUCUUGAAACCAUAUACCUAACUUCUGUCAAUAAUUUAAUAAGAAUGAUGCUGAUAGUGAAAUAAAUUGCUAAUGGUUGGCCAAAAGAACAAUAGAUAAUAUUUUCAUAUUCUACUUUUAUUGCACAUCACUCUUAAUAUGUGUUGCUUUUUGGAACUCAGUGUUUAACAUUAGAUAAUGCAUUCGAAGUAUUUGACAUGGUUAGUGGCAGAGCCAGAAUUUUCAAAUCAUGGUUGGUCAAAUGCGUUAAAUCUCAAAAUGCUACUUUGAGAUUGGCUGCUCAACCAAUAAUUUUUGUAUGUUAGUAAUAAUUUCCAAUAAAAAAGGUAGUGUUUGAUAAACCACAAUGGGUGCUCAAGCACGCACUAGCUACACUGUAUGUCCGCCACUAGAUAUGGUUAUGUCUUACUACUAAUUGUUCAUGGCUUAUGCCAUAUCAAAAUAGCCAACCCUGACCCAUCAGAUCUCCUAUGUAACAUGUUAUGACUCUUAAUAUUUCUUUAAUGAACUUCUCAUGGCUUCGGUUAUCAAAAUUUUCUGAUCCAUAACUUUAAACUUUUUGUUGUCUCUUAUCAAAUUGAAUCUAAACAUAUUUGUUUGUUGUUUCUUUUUUUGUGACUUAUUAUCUUAACCAUGUGUAUGAAAAGACGACGGAUCCGAAAAUUUUGAAAUGGAAGCAGUUGAAAGAUGUUUUGAUAAGCUCACCUCUGAAGCUAUAUC